rnacentral:rRNA from 1 species
CCUACGGGUGGCAGCAGUGAGGAAUAUUGGUCAAUGGGCGAGAGCCUGAACCAGCCAAGUCGCGUGAAGGAUGAAGGAUCUAUGGUUUGUAAACUUCGUUUAUAUGGGAAUAAAGUGAGGAACGUGUUCCUUUUUGUAUGUACCAUAUGAAUAAGAAUCGGCUAACUCCGUGCCAUCAGCCACGGUAAUACGGUAGAUGCGAUCUUUCUCCGGAUUUAUGGGGUUUAAAGGGUGCGUAGGUGGUUAAUUAAGUCAGCGGUGAAAGUUUGUGGCUCAACCAUAAAAUUGCCGUUGAAACUGGUUGACUUGAGUAUAUUUGAGGUAGGCGGAAGGCGUGGUGUAGCGGUGAAAUGCAUAGAUAUCACGCAGAACUCCGAUUGCGAAGGCAGCUUACUAAACUAUAACUGACACUGAAGCACGAAAGCGUGGGGAUCAAACAGGAUUAGAUACCCGUGUAGUC